ensembl:lncRNA
AGUUGUUUAUCAUCAAAAGAUACUUUCCUUGUUAAUCAAGCUUCAUACCAAAGUUAAGGCACACCUGAACAGAGUGGGCUAAACCAACUCAUUGUGUAAACCUGGAUACUGCUCACUCAUUAUCCUUGCUGAUGCAGAAGGUCUGUUUUGUAACAUCUUUCUAUGAAAAGCUAGAACAUCAGUGCUUGCUCCUGGAAAAGGGCCAGUGUGAGUCAUCUUGUGCAGUGUGGCAUGACUCUGAGGGUUCAAAGAAGGACUUGGCGAUUUCAGAGGCUCUAAAAAUAAGGUUAAUAAACAGGUGCUCUGCAGAGGGUCAUUGUAUAUCCCACAAGGUAUGAUUCAAGGUCAUUUGCAGACUUAUUUGCAGUUAAAAUUUGUAUUGCCUGUGUUGUCUAGCCCUAAUGGAUUUGUACGGUUUUGCCUCUGUUUGCCUGUGCACCAACUUAACUGUUGCAGCACGUAUCUACUCCAACUCAUCUCCUGUCCACAGGACUGGUUUGUGGACAGCCUGUCUGACAUGCUCAACAGUCCGCUAACCUCCCUUAUGUGUCCAGGCAUGCUCAGACCUACAUGUUUCAGCUGUGUCAGCACCUCUAUGUACUGUUUUGCUGCUUGUAUGGUCAUGAAGAUAGUUUUGAAGAUGGCUUUGAGGUUACCCUCUGUGGGAUGCAUGGUAUACACAGGGUGGACAGAUCUGUCCGGAGAUGAAAGUGCUUCUCCUGGGAUAUCUUUCUCUAUUUGAGAGUGGAAUAAAUUCUGCAGGCAUGAGAUGCCCCAAUGCUGGUGCAACUGUAUCAUUGCUAGAACUGAUCCCAGCCUUACUGCUCUUGUUUUCCUGGCGCAGACCAACAGUAAAUCCACUUUGCACUGCUGUGGCAGUGUGGAGGAGCCUCAGUGAGGAAAUAAAUGAUAUUUACACCUAGUUGAAGGUUCUGUUCAAUCCUGAUGUAAUAAAAAGCAGUGAGAAUGUAAGGAGGAACUAGACUCCAACUUGUGCAAGAAGAGUUCAUUACCAAACCUCUCCAGCCCCUCCCCUGGAUUCACCAGGAUUUAUGUGCUUCUUCAGUAAGAUAAAUUGUACUCGCUUUCCAAUAUGCUGACUUUAGGGUAAGGAAGAAAAAACAGUCAAAUCAGAUAUGUUCUUUUUUUAAUUUUAAUUAAAUCAUCUGUAUUUGAAGGUGGUGACAACUACGCUUCAGUCUCCUCUUGUUCAUCCCGUACUCUGGGAAAAGUUCCAGUCUGAUUUUUGCUUUGCUCAUAACAGAAAGCUUGUAUUGGUUUCCUAGCCCUAUAAUAAAUUAUGAGUUCUG